UGUCACAAUGGUGGCUUCUAUGGUAUGU
rnacentral:piRNA from 1 species